rfam:Medicago truncatula strain A17 chromosome 2, whole genome shotgun sequence.
CCAUUAACUAUUAAAAGUUUCGUUUUAGUCCCUUAACUUAUUUUUUUUGGUUUCGUUUUGGUCCCUUAACUUAUUUUUUGGUUUCAUUUUGGUCCCUUAACUCGAAUACAUUCAUCCUAACAUAAAGGACCAAAGUAGUUGACGGAGGAAGAGUUAAUGGACCAAAACGAAAUCAAAAAGUAAGUUAAAGGACCAAAACGAAACUUUUAAUAGUUAAGGGACCAAAACGAAACUUUUAAUAAUUAAGGGA